rnacentral:rRNA from 1 species
ACACGGACCAAGGAGUGCAACAUGCGUGCGAGUCCUGGGGUGGCAAACCCGUCGGCGCAAUGAAAGUGAAGGCGAGGCUUCGUGCCCGCUGUGGCGAGAGCCCCUCUCGGGGGGCGCAUCGUCGACCGAUCCCUACGUCACGCUGUGGCGGGAUUUGAGUGAGAGCGUGCCUGUUGCGACCCGAAAGAUGGUGAACUAUGCCUGAAUAGGGUGAAGCCAGAGGAAACUCUGGUGGAAGCUCGUAGCGAUUCUGACGUGCAAAUCGAUCGUCAAAUUUGGGUAUAGGGGCGAAAGACUAAUCGAACCGUCUAGUAGCUGGUUCCCUCCGAAGUUUCCCUCAGGAUAGCUGGAGCCCGGUGCAGUUUUAUCAGGUAAAGCGAAUGAUUAGAGGUCUUGGGGCUGAAACGGCCUCAACCUAUUCUCAAACUUUAAAUGGGUAAGAAGCCCGACUUGCUCGAUUGAAGUCGGGCGCAGAAUGCCGGGGCUCCCAGUGGGCCAUUUUUGGUAAGCAGAACUGGCGAUGUGGGAUGAACCGAAUGCCAGGUUAAGGUGCCGGAAUCGACGCUCAUCAGAUCCCAUGAAAGGUGUUGGUUGAUACAGACAGCAGGACGGUGGCCAUGGAAGUCGGAAUCCGCUAAGGAGUGUGUAACAACU